UCCAAAUCAAAUCAGAUCUGACUGAUGGUUGUUCAAUUUUAUCUUGAAUGCUUCCAGCAUUGGGAGCGCAUACCACCCCAAAAGUAUAAAUUUAAAAGGACAACUGUAUUCUGGUUCACACAUGGAUGUAUGAAGCACAUGUCUGACUACUUUCUCUACAAUCUUCUUCCACACGACAGACCCUCCCUCCAACAAUAACAUGGGCAUAAAAUAGGA